GUACUAUGUAAUGCAGUGGUUCCAAAACCAAUCCCUCUGACCCACCACCAGUCCAGGUUGUUGCAGCAUUGGAACAGUAAAUGGAAAUGCCAAAAUCCUGGGCCGUGUUACGUAACCACAAAGACCGGUUUGGAAACCACUGAUGUCGAGUACUGUGGAAAUGGAUGACAAAUCUGUGUAUUGGGUAUGGUUUUAUAGAGCAUGCGGUCCAAAAGCUCCAUCUAGUGGUAGAUUUUGUU